rnacentral:rRNA from 1 species
UGAGUAGGCGGUUGUAUAUGUCAGGUGUAAAGGCUAUGGCUUAACCAUGGUUAGCACUUGAAACUGUACAACUUGAGUGCAGGAGAGGUAAGUGGAAUUCCUAGUGUAGCGGUGAAAUGCGUAGAUAUUAGGAGGAACACCAGUGGCGAAGGCGACUUACUGGACUGUAACUGACGCUGAGUCACGAAAGCGUGGGUAGCAAACAG